GAUGAAUGCUGGCGGCGUGCCUAAUACAUGCAAGUCGGGCGGAAAGGCCCUUCGGGGUACUCGAGCGGCGGACGGCUGAGUAACGCGUAGGAACGUACCCCAAAGUGAGGAAUAACUGCCCGAAAGGGUAGCUAAUGCCGCAUAUGGUCUUCGGAUUAAAGCCUUCGGGCGCUUUGGGAACGGCCUGCGUAUGAUUAGAUAGUUGGUAAGGUAAUGGCUUACCAAGUCUACGAUCAUUAACUGGUCUGAGAGGAUGAUCAGUCAGACUGGAACUGAGAUACGGUCCAGACUCCUACGGGAGGCAGCAGUAAGGAAUAUUGCACAAUGGGCGCAAGCCUGAUGCAGCCAUGCCGCGUGUGUGAAGAAGGCCUUCGGGUUGUAAAGCACUUUCAGCGGGGAGGAAGGCGGUGAGGUUAAUAACCUCAUCGAUUGACGUUACCCGCAGAAGAAGCACCGGCUAACUCCGUGCCAGCCGCCGCCGUAA
rnacentral:rRNA from 1 species